rnacentral:rRNA from 1 species
CCUACGGGAGGCAGCAGUGAGGAAUAUUGGUCAAUGGGCGCGAGCCUGAACCAGCCAAGUCGCGUGAGGGAAGACGGUCCUAUGGAUUGUAAACCUCUUUUGUCGGGGAGCAAAAGACGCCACGCGUGGCGUUCCGAGAGUACCCGAAGAAAAAGCAUCGGCUAACUCCGUGCCAGCCGCCGCGGUAAUACGGAGGAUGCGAGCGUUUUCCGGAUUUAUUGGGUUUAAGGGGUGCGCAGGCGGAAGAUCAAGUCAGCGGUAAAAUUGAGGGGCUCAACCUCUGCGAGCCGUUGAAACUGGUUGUCUUGAGUGAGUGAGAGGUAUGCGGAAUGCGUGGUGUAGCGGUGAAAUGCAUAGAUAUCACGCAGAACUCCGAUUGCGAAGGCAGCAUACCGGCGCUCAACUGACGCUCAUGCACGAAAGUGUGGGUAUCGAACAGGAUUAGAUACCCGUGUAGUC